UUUCGCGCUCAAAGACUUGUACGUGAACCGGAUGUGUGACCGGAUAUAGGAAAAAGGACAUUCCAGAACGUGCGGUGUAAACACGUCAACAUGCAGAUGUAGCGGCACAACACCGCGGCUACUUACUCAUUUAUUGGACAUAAAUACGCAAACUACAGCUUGCGUUUAACCCAUUGGUGAGGAUAGACCAUAAUGUGGUGUGGAUGAUCCUGGAAGGAUCAUGGUCAGAACAGAGUCCUGACAGGGACAUAUGCCAGACUGAUGUGUGGUGGAGCGAGGUGGCCUGGGUACUGUGGUUGCGACUCACAGCCAGAACCUUGAUAGACAGCCAUGAGUGGUAUUCUUUUCUGGCAAUAUAACAAUUGUUCGUGAUGAGGCUUGAUGGUGCCGUCUUGUGGAGAGAACUGGGUUCUUGUUGACACUCCAUGGUGGAAAUCUGCCCACCAGUGUAGACUAUUUAGGUGACCUCAUAGACAGUGAUGGAAAUCUGCCCAUUCCUUGAGUGAACCAUUUAUUUGUGAUAUAUGUUCUUAUUAAAUGUGUGAAAGUGAGUGUGGAUGUGCAGUUGUUCAUAGUGUAUAUUGUAAUUAAAUGUUGUAAAUAAUGUAAA